UUUAUGACARCAGAGGAAAAACCAGUAAACUGGCUUAUUCCUUCCAGAAAUGACAUCAAGAAUUUGUCUAUACAUCAAAGACUAAAGUGAUUAUGGAUAUCGAGAAAAGAUGAAGGCAGGCAGAUAGCUGAAAUGAAUAAAUCUCGCGCUAAAGCWAAGGACACAUCAAAGACGAACAUCAAGUCAAAGACCAAUCAAUCUCCAAAUCAAUCCAGUAUUACAAGUUUUUUCAAUAACAAGGACUCAUGUGGUCUUUUUUCAACUUUUGGC